rnacentral:misc_RNA from 1 species
GCGUCUUAAGGCUCAGCCUUGCGUUGAGAUUUCCUGGGAAGGAACUCUCCAAUCACAUGGGCGUCCGUCGUGCCUGAACCGCAACACACUGCGCGUAGGGACCGCGGCAGUCGCCGAAAACCGUCUA